rnacentral:rRNA from 1 species
ACUCAAAGGAAUUGACGGGGGCCUGCACAAGCGGUGGAGUAUGUGGCUUAAUUCGAUGCAACGCGAAGAACCUUACCUGGCCUUGACAUGCAUAUAGUAGAAGGGUGAAAGCCUAACGAGGUAGCAAUACCAGUAUGCACAGGUGCUGCAUGGCUGUCGUCAGCUCGUGUCGUGAGAUGUUGGGUUAAGUCCCGCAACGAGCGCAACCCUUAUGUCCUGUUGCCACCCGAACGAGAGUUUGGAGCACUCUGGACAGACUGCCUCGCUUAAACGAGGAGGAAGGUGGGGAUGACGUCAAGUCAGUAUGGCCCUUACGGCCAGGGCUGCACACGUACUACAAUGCCCAGCACAGAGGGAAGCAAGACUGCAAAGUGGAGCAAAUCCCUUAAAACUGGGCCCAGUUCAGAUUGUUGUCUGCAACUCGACAACAUGAAGCCGGAAUCGCUAGUAAUGGCGCAUCAGCUACGGCGCCGUGAAUACGUUCCCAGGCCUUGUACACACCGCCCGU